UUCCCACACCGGGAAUCAAACCCAGGCCUCCUGGGUGAGAACCAGGUAUCCUAGCCACUAGACCACGUGGGA